rnacentral:rRNA from 2 species
UCCUACGGGAGGCAGCAGUGGGGAAUAUUGGACAAUGGGCGCAAGCCUGAUCCAGCCAUGCCGCGUGAGUGAUGAAGGCCUUAGGGUUGUAAAGCUCUUUCACCCGGGACGAUAAUGACGGUACCGGGAGAAGAAGCCCCGGCUAACUUCGUGCCAGCAGCCGCGGUAAUACGAAGGGGGCUAGCGUUGUUCGGAAUCACUGGGCGUAAAGCGUACGUAGGCGGACCGUUAAGUCGGAGGUGAAAUCCUGGGGCUCAACCCCAGAACUGCCUUCGAUACUGGCGGUCUCGAGUCCGGAAGAGGUGAGUGGAACUGCCAGUGUAGAGGUGAAAUUCGUAGAUAUUGGCAAGAACACCAGUGGCGAAGGCGGCUCACUGGUCCGGUACUGACGCUGAGGUACGAAAGCGUGGGGAGCAAACAGGAUUAGAUACCCCGGUAGUCG